rnacentral:rRNA from 1 species
AUCUACGACCAUAGAAUCCAGAAAGCAUCGCAUCCCGUCAGCUCUGCGCAAUUUAACCUGGAUAUCGCUCGGUUAGUACCAAAGUGGGGGACCAUUUGGGAAUCCCGAGUGUUGUAGUUUUUU